rnacentral:rRNA from 1 species
AUGUGGAACUCCACUUUCAUGAUGCUAGAAGCAGCUUUACCAUACAAAGUUGAUUUUGAACGUGCAAAUCAUGUUGAGAAACAAUAUGAGCAUUUACCUAGUGCCAAAGAAUGGGAGUUUGCUGCAGAGAUGUUGGAGAGACUUGGAUUAUUCGAUGAGAUAACUAAGUUGUUCUCUGGAAGUGAUUAUGUGACUUCUAAUGUUUACUUCCCUAAAAUCUAUGAGAUUAAAAUGAAAACGAGACAGUGGGCCACUUCUAGCAAUUCAGUUAUAAAAAAACUCUCUGAGGAAAUGAAUACUAAAUUUGACAAGUAUUGGAAGGACAUUCAAGAUCUGAUGGGGAUGGCUACACUUCUUGAUCCUCGUUACAAGAGGCAUAUGUUGAUAGCUUGCUUUGCCAUGCUCCAUGGAAUUGAGCCAUCUUCUUAUGACAAUGUGUGGAUUCGGUUGAUGCAUUAG